GGCAUUCGGAGCUUCGACCCCGAGAACAAGAACGUCAUCACCUUCUUCAGACCCUUAACCCUAAUCGUUGGCCCCAACGGUGCUGGAAAAACCACAAUCAUCGAGUGCUUGAAGCUUUCUUGCACCGGCGAGUUGCCUCCUAAUGCAAGGUCUGGUCACAGCUUCAUUCAUGACCCCAAGGUUGCUGGUGAAACUGAAACGAAGGGCCAGAUUAAGCUCCGAUUUAAGACAGCAGCGGGCAAAGACGUGGUUUGCAUAAGGUCCUUUCAGCUCACGCAAAAGGCGUCGAA